GGGCCGUUAGCUCAGCUGGUAGAGCAGUCGGCUUUUAACCGAUAGGUCGCAGGUUCGAGCCCUGCACGGCCCA
rnacentral:tRNA from 1 species